rnacentral:rRNA from 1 species
GACGAACGCUGGCGGCGUGCUUAACACAUGCAAGUCGAACGAAGAGCGAUGGAAGCUUGCUUCUAUCAAUCUUAGUGGCGAACGGGUGAGUAACGCGUAAUCAACCUGCCCUUCAGAGGGGGACAACAGUUGGAAACGACUGCUAAUACCGCAUACGAUCUAAUCUCGGCAUCGAGGAUAGAUGAAAGGUGGCCGCUACAUGUAAGCUAUCACUGAAGGAGGGGAUUGCGGCUGAUUAGCUAGUUGGAGGGGUAACGGCCCACCAAGGCGAUGAUCAGUAGCCGGUCUGAGAGGAUGAACGGCCACAUUGGGACUGAGACACGGCCCAGACUCCUACGGGAGGCAGCAGUGGGGAAUCUUCCGCAAUGGACGAAAGUCUGACGGAGCAACGCCGCGUGAGUGGUGACGGCCUUCGGGUUGUAAAGCUCUGUUAAUCGGGACGAAAGGCCUUCUUGCGAAUAGUGAGAAGGAUUGACGGUACCGGAAUAGAAAGCCACGGCUAACUACGUG